CUUCUCUUUCAAUGUCGAUACACCAUUCGGGUUUGGGGCAUGAUCAAAACUUGGCUUGCGCUCCACGAUAUCCAGCCCAACGAUUGGAUUGAUAUGGUUUCGGUUAAGGAUUGGUGGAGUCAGAAUGCCACUAAGCAAACUCCAUCGAGAAGGCCACUUGUCUCCCUGAUGAUGCUUAUCUCCUGGGAAAUAUGAAAGGAGCGAAACGCUAGAGUUUUCGGCAACACGGCCGUUCCAGUGGGAGUGUUGGUCGUCAAGAUUAAAGAGGAAUGCUCGCUUUGGAGCCUUGCGGGAGCAAAACAUUUGUGUAACAUUAUGUCGCGAGAGUGA
rnacentral:rRNA from 1 species